CCUACGGGUGGCAGCAGUGGGGAAUAUUGGACAAUGGGGGCAACCCUGAUCCAGCCAUGCCGCGUGUGUGAAGAAGGCCCUCGGGUUGUAAAGCACUUUCAGUGAGGAAGAACGCCUGGUGGUUAAUACCCAUCAGGAAAGACAUCACUCACAGAAGAAGCACCGGCUAACUCCGUGCCAGCAGCCGCGGUAAUACGGAGGGUGCGAGCGUUAAUCGGAAUUACUGGGCGUAAAGCGCGCGUAGGUGGCUUGAUAAGCCGGUUGUGAAAGCCCCGGGCUCAACCUGGGAACGGCAUCCGGAACUGUCAAGCUAGAGUGCAGAAGAGGAAGGUAGAAUUCCCGGUGUAGCGGUGAAAUGCGUAGAGAUCGGGAGGAAUACCAGUUGCGAAGGCGGCCUUCUGGACUGACACUGACACUGAGGUGCGAAAGCGUGGGUAGCAAACAGGAUUAGAUACCCCAGUAGUC
rnacentral:rRNA from 1 species